AACCGCCGUUGGGUGGGGAAGGAAAUCACACAUGCCCCGUCACAUAGCCCCGGGUGCCGGCUUUCCUGUUUAAGGUUGCUGGUUGGGUUUAUGCGGGGGCGUGGAGGCCUAACC
rnacentral:sRNA from 1 species